CCUACGGGAGGCUGCAGUGAGGAAUAUUGGUCAAUGGGCGCGAGCCUGAACCAGCCAAGUCGCGUGAGGGAUGACGGCUCUAUGGUUCGUAAACUUCUUUUAUAAGGGAAUAAAGUGCGGUACGCGUCUCGCUCUGCAUGUACCUUACGAAUAAGGAUCGGCUAACUCCGUGCCAGCAGCCGCGGUAAUACGGAGGAUCCGAGCGUUAUCCGGAUUUAUUGGGUUUAAAGGGUGCGUAGGCGGCCUUUUAAGUCAGCGGUGAAAGUCUGUGGCUCAACCUUGGAAUUGCCGUUGAUACUGGGGGGCUUGAGAGUAGUUGAGGCAGGCGGAAUGUAUGGUGUAGCGGUGAAAUGCAUAGAGAUCACACAGAACCCCGAUUGCGAAGGCAGCCUGCCAAGCCAUGACUGACGCUGAGGCACGAAAGCGUGGGGAUCGAACAGGAUUAGAUACCCGUGUAGUC
rnacentral:rRNA from 1 species